rnacentral:rRNA from 1 species
UACGUAGGGGGGCAAGCGUUGUCCGGAUUUAUUGGGCGUAAAGAGCGUGUAGGCGGCCUGAAAGGUCAGCUGUGAAAACUCGAGGCUCAACCUCGAGACGUCGGUUGAAACCAUCUGGCUAGAGUCCGGAAGAGGAGUGUGGAAUUCCCCGGUGUAGCGGUGAAAUGCGCAGAUAUCGGGAAGAACACCCGUGGCGAAGGCGGCACUCUGGGACGGUACUGACGCUGAGACGCGAAAGCGUGGGGAGCGAACAGG